AGCUUUGUGCAGUGGCAGUAUCGUAGCCAAUGAGGUUUAUCCGAGGCACGAUUAUUGGUAAUUGAAAAAGGAACAAAUCACUGAUACAUGCGGCAACAUGGAGGCAUCAUAAAAAUGUUAUGCUAAGUGAAGGAAGUUAAAAGCA